rnacentral:lncRNA from 1 species
CAUAGUUUUCUGUUAUGAAUUGAUUCAUCUUCCCGAAUAUUUUGCGGGAUUACCCUUGUUUAGAUUGUUCUUCUUAGCGUUUGAGUAUAUCCUUUGUAUUUAGGUGGCGUUGUAUUUGACCUCUUUCAUCUUCCCAAAUUUAGGGUGGAAUGUUUCUGAGUCCAACAAGAUUUGAGUGAAGAUCUAUGCUUUAAGAUGAAUUUAUUUUAGAUUAGAUGCAAUACUUGAGAUAUCUCAACAUUACUUUGUAUAGUAGUUGCCAAUUCUUGUUAGCUUUAAAGUGUUCGGUUGUUGAAAAUCAAUGCAUUGUGCAUCAAAGAUCGUGAGAAGUUUAAUUAAGGAUGAGUCUUGUGCAUGAGUAAUUCUAUACAUAGUCAUCCCAUGUGAUUGUUUGUUAUUUGAGGCAAUAUUAUUUAUUGGAAAUUAAUGCUUCAAAUAACAAGUUGCCACACUGCUAUAAUAUGAAAUCAUUCUUCAAAAAUGUGGUGUUUGUAUGUAUGAACAUGCCUAGUAUCUUUUUGAUCUGGAAUCCAAGUAUCUUUGCUAUACUGUUUAUAUCAAAAGUUCAUUUUCAAUCUCUGUUUCCUAUUGAUCUGUUUGUUGCAUGUACAAACAGUUGCAACCACCUUUAAGUGUAGCCAUCUGAUGGUCAAUACAUGGAAAAACUUGAGGAAUAUAGCAAUAUUCCUCUACGUGUGUCAUUUAUAUCUUGUAUGGCCUCGAAUAUUUGUGGAAAAUAUGUUCAAAAUUUCAUUUAUUAUUAUGUUCCAGUUUGUAAGCUCAAACGUGCGUAGCCUUGAAAUGUUGAGAAAUGAUGAACUGCUUUUGAUUUCUCACAACGGGAAACUUCUCAAGUAUUAAAUUUAUCAAGGUGUUUUAAUAGUGGUGUCAGUUUCUCACAAGAAUUGAAACGUUAGAUGUUUGGGAAGUGAUUAAAUUAAACUAAAUUCUUAUAAGCUGUGAAUUCUUAGAAAUAUGUGAAUAAGUGGGUAUGGUAUUCAUGUGAUGUGAUCAAAUUGAUGUCACGAUUAAUACUAGCAGUG